CCACGCCUUUCGACGGUUCCUCCGCCACGCUCUCGCUCUGCAGCUCCGCCGCCCCGCUCUCGCACCGGCGGCCCUUGACCUGGGAGGCUGGGACACGACGAGCUGACCCGUGCGCUCCUCCUCCUCCGCCAGCUCUUCUCGGCGCCGACGCUCCGCCGGCCCGCGCUCCUCGGCCCCACGCUCAUGCCAGCCCGCCGGAGACCCGGUGUGGCGGCCCUUGACCAGGGACACGGCGAGCUGUCCCGCGCGCCCCUCCUCCUCCGCCAGCUCUUCUCGGCGCCCGCGCUCCUCGGCCCCACGCUCACGCCGGCCCGCCGGAGACCCGGUGUGGCGGCCUUUGAUCUGAGACACGGCGAGCCGACCCGCGCGUCCCUCCUCGCUCCGCCGAGGCCGUCCUGGCGCUCUGCUCCGACGUCACCCCGCCCCGGUCCGGCAUGACGGCCGCGCCUCCUCGCCGACUUCGCAUCGCCGCUCGGUGCCGCCCGCCACGCCUUCCGUGCCCUCACCGGAUCGCGUGCUCGACGGCGCGCUGCCGCCGCCUCUGCUUGGCUGACCGGGGCAGGACGCCUCCCUCCCCUCCGGCGCCCUCACGCUCCACCACGCCGCACCAGCGGCGCCUCACCCUCCACUGCACCUCGACUUCGCCCGGUGGCUGCUCGUCCCGCCCGUUCCCUUUGCCAAGCGGGGCGCCUCUCCUCCGCCCUCGCAGUGGCCGCCAAAUGGCUCCAGAGAGGUGAUGAAUUUGCUCCUUGAGUACAAACUCAGUCGAUGAGAGAUCCGUCAGAGAAGACGAAGUGGCGCGAGCCCAACUGCUGCCGCUGCCGCAAGGACAAGAUAUGCAAGGUGAAGAACUCGUGAGUAAUUUUAUUAGCCUGCGAUUCCCUCUAACCUGCCACAGUCUUGCAUCUCUGUUCAAGCACGAGCAUUCCUAAUGUAACCUCUUGCAUCCUCUCCUUUAGCGUGUAGAUUACUGAAUGCACACCACGUUUGUUGCCGGAAUUGGUGUGCACUUGCUAGAGUGAAGAUUCCCCGUAACACCAUCCUCCUGGUCCCCAAUGUCACAGUCUACCCACCAGGUGUUCGAUAGAAUGUUUAUAAUAGGAUACUAUUCUCCGGUAAUAUUUUUCUCUGUCAUAAUUUGUAAAAAGGUGUAUUACAUGUUUAGUAGCACUGUGGACUUCCAGGAAUGAGAUAAAGGAGGUCAUAAACAGGGUAGGAAAAGAGGAUGAUAUCAGAGAGGUGUCAAGGGAUGAUGGAAUUUUUCCUUGUUCAUGAGUUGUGGUUCAGUGCUCUGACACAAGAUGAGUGUGCAACUAACAAAUCUCAGUCGGUUCGUGUUAUCAUAUUGAUCUCUUUGACAUUAGCUUGUUGAAAGAACAAAAUAAUCCUUCAGUUUCAGAUUGUGGUUUGUAUAAUUUUUUCCUCUAUAGAUUAAUUUGAGAUAUUCAUUGAAAACUAGGAUAUUCUGUACCAAUUGCUAAAGUGAAUUGGAGAACUGUUGUUUUUCUGCACAGCAAUGCAAAUAUCCUGGUGCUCUUUUGGGACAAGUGUUGUUUCUAUGAAGACAAAUGAAAAAACUACUUCAAAUACACUAUAUAGAUACUCAUUUGCUACCUGGUGCUAUUUUGGGACAGUCACUGCAGAAGGUUUUCUGCAGGAGGCAUUCGGCUCACUAUGAUGCCUUUUUAUUCUGUACAUUUUUCAAGUUAUAUGAGUUGGCUGAAGUUACAGACUGAUGGUAUAUUUUUUAUGCAAGAUGCAACUAUUUUUGAAGUGCAACAUAGUAUACCUUGAUUUUUGUAUGCUACUGAUAUUGACUACUGGCCAGAAAAUAAUAUUGAUCAAUAUGGCCUACUAAUGAGUUUUUUUUGCGACCAUCUAUAUAGGAAAGAAAUGGUUGCAAUAUGGCAAUGGAUUUUACCUUGCUAUGGUUGAUGUGAAUGAAAAAGUUUCUUGGAAUUGGAGCCGGUUCAAAGUUCUAUUGCACUUGAUCUGCUAGAAGGUUUGGAAUUUUGUUGGUGUUGAGGCAUCCCUUUUUUUGAUAAUAUAGUUACAUCCAUGUUUGAAUAGAAGCAAGAGCUUGUCAAUGAGUUAUUAGAACCUACAACUCACAUCUUGAAACAUAUAUCAAGUAGAUAGAGCUUGUCAAGGAUAACGUCAGUCACUCUGUUUAUCUGGGUGCUUUUUAAGCACGAUUCUUUUGAGUUUUAGAUAUCGAUAGACAAGCUCAGUAUUUUCAUGGUAAAUGUAAUGUAUUAUUUGCCUACACUGAAUAGUGUUAGAUCAGUUGCAAAGCAAAAUAAAUGCUAAAUCCUUUGAGAAUAUGUAGAAUUGUAUUUCCACUUUCCUCUUUUUUUUUUUGGGAUAAGAGAAUCUCUAAUAUUCGAAAACAACAAACAAGCAGUUUGAGAACAUUGUCUGAUACAAUUGUUCAAAACUUUCAGAAACUAAAUUGUUAGGUGAACCUUUGGUUUCUUUUUCCUCUUUCUGUGAUCCUCAAUUAUUUCUUGAAGUUAAUGCGUUGUGUGCCCUUAGAGUUUCAUGAUCAAAUCAUAUAUUGUUUCUAUCUUUCUGGGCAAGGCAAACAUCAGUUUUCAUUUAUCAAAUAUCUCAAGGAAUGUGCGGUCUAUUCAUCUGUCAAUAGGUCAAUAAUUCAUCUCCAAGCUUCGACGUGCCAGCUCGACAGCUUGUCCUUCUGGUUCGACAGCCAACAGGGCAAGUCCAAACAGGCGGGCAUCGGGCAGAGCUCCAUUCAGGCAGUUUGUUAGCCGCAUGAAAAAGGAAAUAAAGAGAACUCCGAAGUGCUAACAAUAAUGUUAACUGGGGAAUUUGUUUUGUCUGUAGCAAGGUAUGGCACAGAACUACUUGAAUUCCUGUAUGUGCAUUGAUAUAGAUGAAUGUAUGGAAUCGAGCAUGAUCAAUACUAUUUCUCUAGCUGGUUACACAUCAAA